rnacentral:lncRNA from 1 species
ACCGCAUUAAAGCAACCCCAUACAAUCAGAAUCAUGAAUAUUUAGGUUUGCCAAUGAUUUUCAUACAAUCAAUCAUGAAUAUUUAGGUUUGCCAAUGAUUUUCAUACAAUCAAUCAUGAAUAUUUAGGUUUGCCAAUGAUUUUCUUAAGCCCACAGUAGCAAAGUUUUGUGAAGACCAGUUCACCCAUACCAUACACAUCUGCAAACUAUCACAUUCUCUUAUCAGAAUCAGGAUCAGGAUCCUAACCAGGAUGGACAAACAAUUAAGUUAU